UCGGUGGCAGAGCGGUCAAAUGCAUUGGACUGUAAAUCCAACGGAGUAUUCCUACGCAGGUUCGAAUCCUGCCCGGC
rnacentral:tRNA from 1 species